UUAGAGUUUGAUCCUGGCUCAGGACGAACGCUGGCGGCGUGCCUAAUACAUGCAAGUCGAACGAACUCUGGUAAUGAUUGGUGCUUGCAUCAUGAAUUACAUUUGAGUGAGUGGCGAACUGGUGAGUAACACGUGGGAAACCUGCCCAGAAGCGGGGGAUAACACCUGGAAACAGAUGCUAAUACCGCAUAACAACUUGGACCGCAUGGUCCGAGUUUGAAAGAUGGCUUCGGCUAUCACUUUUGGAUGGUCCCGCGGCGUAUUAGCUAGAUGGUGAGGUAACGGCUCACCAGCAAUGAUACGGCCUGUCUCAGUCCCAAAU
rnacentral:rRNA from 1 species